rnacentral:rRNA from 1 species
AACGAACGCUGGCGGCAGGCCAAACACAUGCAAGUCGAGCGCCCCGCAAGGGGAGCGGCGGACGGGUGAGUAACGCGUGGGAACGUGCCCUUUGCUACGGAAUAGCCCCGGGAAACUGGGAGUAAUACCGUAUAAGCCCUACGGGGGAAAGAUUUAUCGGCAAAGGGUCGGCCCGCGUUGGAUUAGGUAGUUGGUGGGGUAAUGGCCUACCAAGCCGACGAUCCAUAGCUGGUUUGAGAGGAUGAUCAGCCACACUGGGACUGAGACACGGCCCAGACUCCUACGGGAGGCAGCAGUGGGGAAUCUUAGACAAUGGGCGCAAGCCUGAUCUAGCCAUGCCGCGUGAGCGAUGAAGGCCUUAGGGUUGUAAAGCUCUUUCGUGGGGGAAGAUAAUGACUGUACCCCAAGAAGAAGCCCCGGCUAACUCCGUGCCAGCCGCCGCGGUAACAC